AGGGUUUGAUCAUGGCUCAGGACGAACGCUGGCGGCGUGCCUAAUACAUGCAAGUGGAACGCAUGAUUGAUACCGGAGCUUGCUCCACCAUUAAUCAUGAGUCGCGAACGGGUGAGUAACGCAUAGGUAACCUACCUCAUAGCGGGGGAUAACUAUUGGAAACGAUAGCUAAUACCGCAUAACAGUAUUUAUCGCAUGGUAAAUGCUUGAAAGGAGCAACUGCUUCACUAUGAGAUGGACCUGCGUUGUAUUAGCUAGUUGGUGGGGUAACGGCUCACCAAGACAUCGAUACAUAGCCGACCUGAGAGGGUGAUCGGCCACACUGGGACUGAGGCACGGCCCAGACUCCUACGGGAGGCAGCAGUAGGGAAUCUUCGGCAAUGGGGGGAACCCUGACCGAGCAACGCCGCGUGAGUGAAGAAGGUUUUCGGAUCGUAAAGCUCUGUUGUAAGAGAAGAACGUGUGUGAGAGUGGAAAGUUCACACAGUGACGGUAACUUACCAGAAAGGGACGGCUAACUACGUGCCAGCCGCCGCGGUAAUAC
rnacentral:rRNA from 1 species